CCUACGGGAGGCAGCAGUGGGGAAUUUUGGACAAUGGGCGAAAGCCUGAUCCAGCCAUGCCGCGUGCAGGAUGAAGGCCUUCGGGUUGUAAACUGCUUUUGUACGGAACGAAAAGGUCUUUUCUAAUAAAGAGGGCCCAUGACGGUACCGUAAGAAUAAGCACCGGCUAACUACGUGCCAGCAGCCGCGGUAAUACGUAGGGUGCAAGCGUUAAUCGGAAUUACUGGGCGUAAAGCGUGCGCAGGCGGUUAUAUAAGACAGUUGUGAAAUCCCCGGGCUCAACCUGGGAACUGCAUCUGUGACUGUAUAGCUAGAGUACGGUAGAGGGGGAUGGAAUUCCGCGUGUAGCAGUGAAAUGCGUAGAUAUGCGGAGGAACACCGAUGGCGAAGGCAAUCCCCUGGACCUGUACUGACGCUCAUGCACGAAAGCGUGGGGAGCAAACAGGAUUAGAUACCCUGGUAGUCCACGCCCUAAACGAUGUCAACUGGUUGUUGGGUCUUCACUGACUCAGUAACGAAGCUAACGCGUGAAGUUGACCGCCUGGGGAGUACGGCCGCAAGGUUGAAACUUAAAGGAAUUGACGGCNGAGAGNGCGAGACGACGACGAGGGAGAGG
rnacentral:rRNA from 1 species